rnacentral:tRNA from 1 species
GCUCUAGUGGCGCAGAGGUUAGCGCAUCGGUUAGUUUAACCCCUUCUACUGAGAUUAGAGUUCGUUGAUUUUUGGGCUAACAAAGUUGUUAGUGCUUAUAGCUGUAUUACGGCAUCUAUACUUGAUGUCACGGUCGUGUGAGGAACGCGACGGUCGUGGGUUCAAUCCCCACCUAGAGCA